rnacentral:rRNA from 1 species
CCUACGGGUGGCAGCAGUGGGGAAUAUUGGACAAUGGGCGAAAGCCUGAUCCAGCCAUGCCGCGUGUGUGAAGAAGGCCUUCGGGUUGUAAAGCACUUUCAGUGGGGAAGAAAGCCUUGGGGCUAAUACCCUCGAGGAAGGACAUCACCCACAGAAGAAGCACCGGCUAACUCCGUGUCAGCAGCCGCGGUAAUACGGAGGGUGCGAGCGUUAAUCGGAAUUACUGGGCGUAAAGCGCGCGUAGGCGGUCUGAUAAGCCGGUUGUGAAAGCCCCGGGCUCAACCUGGGAACGGCAUCCGGAACUGUCAGGCUAGAGUGCAGGAGAGGAAGGUAGAAUUCCCGGUGUAGCGGUGAAAUGCGUAGAGAUCGGGAGGAAUACCAGUGGCGAAGGCGGCCUUCUGGACUGACACUGACGCUGAGGUGCGAAAGCGUGGGUAGCAAACAGGAUUAGAUACCCCGGUAGUC